UUUUGUUUAACUUUAUUUUUCCUACUAGCUUUGUGUGAACGUAAAUCACUAACUUUGGAUUUUCUCUCUAAAAUGGGCUGAAGAGUUGUGGCAGUUAAUUCUUACUGAAAGACUAGAGGUUGCAGAUAUGAAGUUUCUUAGGGACGAUGACAAAUUCAUUCCUCUUGUUACAAAUUUUGAACAGGUAUUGGGGAUUAUUUUGUUUGAAAGGAGUUGGUGGCUAGAAUUAUUCUCACUGUUUGAAAUGAAAUUGGGAUCAACUACAUGAUAUAAUUAUGGAUUGUUAUGCUUCUACUACUACAUCUACAUCAGUUUGCUCCAGGUUGUAAUCAUUUCCUAGGUUCUGCCAAAGAAGUUCUGCAUAUUAGGAUACUGUGGUUAUAUUUAGCGAUACAUUUUUUAAUUUUGUCUUUGAUUACAUGUUUUAGUGGAUGUUCUAACAAUGUUGUUUAGAUGCUACAACAUUGUUUUGAUGCUACAUCAAUGUUGUUCUAACAAUGUAUAUUUACUUUCUAUACAUUUUGAUGGUACUCAGUGAGUAACAA